GUCUACAGCCCAACCACCCUGGACACACCUGAUCUCAUCUGCUCUCAGAAGCUAAGCAGGGGUGGGACCUGGGUUAGUGCUUGGACA
rnacentral:rRNA from 1 species